rnacentral:rRNA from 1 species
GUGGGGAAUAUUGGGCAAUGGGCGCAAGCUUGACCCAGCAACGCCGCGUGAAGGAAGAAGGCUUUCGGGUUGUAAACUUCUUUUACCAGGGACGAAACAAAUGACGGUACCUGGUGAAUAAGCCACGGCUAACUACGUGCCAGCAGCCGCGGUAAUACGUAGGUGGCGAGCGUUAUCCGGAUUUAUUGGGUGUAAAGGGCGUGUAGGCGGGACAGCAAGUCAGAUGUGAAAACUAGAGGCUCAACCGCUGGCCUGCAUUUGAAAAUGUUGUUCUUGAGUGGCGGAGAGGUAAUCGGAAUUCCGUGUGUAGCGGUGAAAUGCGUAGAUAUACGGAGGAACACCAGUGGCGAAGGCGGAUUACUGGACGAUAACUGACGCUGAGGAGCGAAAGCGUGGGGAGCAAACAUGAUUAGAAACCCCAGUAGUCC